CUCACCGGCACGGCGUCACCACCGCCUCCGCCACUCCUCAAAUUGAUUCAAGCUCUAGAUUGAGGGAGAGAGUGCGUGAGUGAUAUCUUUCUUUUUCAAAAAAGAAAAGAAAAAAUUUCAUAUUUGUGUCUCUUGUUUGUUUUCCUGUGGAUUUUGUUGUUAGUUAUUAGUCCAUUUGAAUACCCAAAUCCCUGAAAUCUUUGUUCUCUGAAGGAGAAUAAGGAAAGUAGUGGGUUGGGUUUUGGGUCAAUUUUUAGCUAAAUAAGGAAAUGAGGGAAGAUGAUUCUAAUUGGUUUUCAAGAUGGGAGGAAGAGCUCCCAUCACCUGAAGAGCUUAUGCCCAUAUCCCAAACCCUAAUUACUCCUGAUCUUGCCCUUGCUUUUGACAUCCGUAAUCCUACUAACAACGCCACCGCCAACACCACCUCUCUUAUGCAACAAAAUCAGCCCCCCCCUCCUCCGCCACCCACUACCACCACUCCAUCCCCCAAUAACCCCUUGCCANCCUUCCCAACCUAAUUCCGCUGAAUACGCUGCCGAUUCUGCUGACUUGGGUUCUGGGGCUGCUGGUGAUGAGCCUGCUAGAACCCUUAAGCGGCCCCGACUCGUUUGGACCCCCCAGCUUCAUAAAAGGUUUGUGGACGCUGUUGCACACUUGGG
rnacentral:misc_RNA from 1 species